rnacentral:rRNA from 1 species
UGUAGUCUCAACGAUGAUGCAUACAUGUGAACUAUGGGUGUUGGCUCCAACAAUUCGCAUUGGUCUCAAACCAAUGACACGCACUUUGAUGACCAUGAGUUCGAGGUGGACGAGGAUGGUGAGGGCAUUGUCGCCGCACCGAAAGGAAGAGCGGGCAAUUACACCAACGCCGAAGACAUCUUACUAUGCACUAGAUUGUUGGAAUGGGAGAAACACUUGUUCUUCUUGGACACAUCUAUCCUUAAUGAGGCGCAAAAGGAGUAUGCCAAUCUUGCCUGUGAAGAAGUCUUGAUCCAAAAUAGAGCCAUGAUUCGCGCAAUGGGUGGCGGUGGCCUUGGCGCCAUGGGAGGCAUGGGUGGCUUCGGAGCUACCGUGGGCGGCUUAGGUGCCAUGGGUGGCUUUGGAGCUACCAUGGAGACCAUGGGAGGCAUGGGUGGCUUUGGAGCACCCCCCGGCGCCAUGGCCGCCAUGGGAGGCAUGAGUUUUGCUUCUCUCAUGGGAGGCAUGGGUGCACCUCCAGCCGCCAUGGGCGGAAUGUCUUCCGAUGCCUCACACACCUUCCCAUGA